rnacentral:rRNA from 1 species
CCGCCGCGGUAAUACGUAGGGGGCGAGCGUUGCUCGGAUUUACUGGGCGUAAAGAGCGCGUAGGCGGCCAGGUAAGUCCGGUGUGAAAUCCCUCGGCUCAACUGAGGACCCGCAUCGGAAACUACCUGGCUUGAGUCCAGGAGGGGAGGGUGGAACUCCCGGUGUAGCGGUGAAAUGCGUAGAUAUCGGGGGGAACACCGGUGGCGAAGGCGGCCCUCUGGAAUGGUACUGACGCUGAGGCGCGAAAGCUGGGGGAGCGAACGGGAUUAGAUACCCCGGUAGUCCCAGCCGUAAACGAUGGGCACUAGGUGUGGGAGGUAUUGACCCCUUCUGUGCCGUAGCUAACGCAUUAAGUGCCCCGCCUGGGGAGUACGACCGCAAGGUUGAAACUCAAAGGAAUUGACGGGGGCCCGCACAAGCGGUGGAGCAUGUGGUUUAAUUCGACGCAACGCGAAGAACCUUACCAGGGCUUGACAUGCCCGUAGUACUGACCCGAAAGGGAAAGGAUCCCGCAAGGGAAGCCGGCACAGGUGGUGCAUGGCUGUCGUCAGCUCGUGUCGUGAGAUGUUGGGUUAAAG